UGGGGAAUAUUGCGCAAUGGGCGAAAGCCUGACGCAGCGACGCCGCGUGAGGGACGACGGCCUUCGGGUUGUAAACCUCUUUCAGCAGGGACGAAGCGAAAGUGACGGUACCUGCAGAAGAAGCACCGGCUAACUACGUGCCAGCAGCCGCGGUAAUACGUAGGGUGCAAGCGUUAUUCGGAAUUACUGGGUGUAAAGGGUAUGUAGGCGGCCCUUCAAGUCGCGUGUCAAAGUCCAGUGCUCAACGCUGGGUGUGCACGCGAUACUGACGGGCUUGAGGGCUGGAGAGGUGAGCGGAAUUCCCGGUGUAGUGGUAAAAUACGUAGAGAUCGGGAGGAACACCAGCGGCGCAGGCGGCUCACUAGACAGUUUCUGACGCUAAGAUACGAAAGCGUGGGGAGCAAACA
rnacentral:rRNA from 1 species